CGUAACGACUCUCGGCAACGGAUAUCUCGGCUCUCGCAUCGAUGAAGAACGUAGCAAAAUGCGAUACGUGGUGUGAAUUGCAGAUCCCGUGAACCAUCGAGUUUUUGAACGCAAGUUGCGCCCGAAGCCUUUAGGCCGAGGGCACGUCUGCCUGGGCGUCACGC
rnacentral:rRNA from 1 species